rnacentral:rRNA from 1 species
CCUACGGGAGGCAGCAGUGAGGAAUAUUGGUCAAUGGGCGGAAGCCUGAACCAGCCAAGUCGCGUGAGGGAAUAAGGCCCUACGGGUCGUAAACCUCUUUUGCCGGGGAGCAAGGUCGGGGACGUGUCCCGUCCCGGAGAGUACCCGGAGAAAAAGCAUCGGCUAACUCCGUGCCAGCAGCCGCGGUAAUACGGAGGAUGCGAGCGUUCUCCGGAUUUAUUGGGUUUAAAGGGUGCGUAGGCGGGCUUUUAAGUCGGCGAUAAAAAUUCGGGGCUCAACCCCGGCCGGCCGUUGAGACUGGGGGCCUUGAGUGGGCGAGAGGAAGGCGGAAUGCGUGGUGUAGCGGUGAAAUGCAUAGAUAUCACGCAGAACCCCGAUUGCGAAGGCAGCCUUCCGGCGCCCUACUGACGCUGAGGCACGAAAGUGCGGGGAUCGAACAGGAUUAGAUACCCUUGUAGUC